GACUUUGCUUUUAUAUUAUUAUAUUACACUACUACUUUUGGAGCCCUCAACCUUAUAAACUCACACACCUUAUUUUUUGUCAAUAACUUCUCUUGAGAAUGUCCAUGUCAAGCAAAAUAAGCUGGAAAUGUACAAGUUAUGAUAGAAGUGGAGGAGGAAAGAACCGUGAAGAUUGAACUAUCUGAUUGAAAGAGUAAUAAUUAGAGCACGAUUUCAGCAAUGAUUUACAGGUACUAUCACAGUAUCACUAGCUAUUUCUUGGUCCUGAAGGCCAGCCAUAUAUUUAUCCUCAUCCAUUAACCUUUUCUGGCUGCAGAUUCGUCAAUUACUCCCGAUAUAACUUCACAUGACUCGGAGGCAGACGAUGCACUAAUAGGAGUACUGUUUUGCUGGCCUUAUCGAACCGGAGCAAGUCUUGCAAAUUGAAGAAUUUGCGAGCAACUUCAAGGGAAAGUCUCAUUCUUCGGUCUCUAGGACCGUGAGCUGUGUUAAUCUUGGAGUGUCUAUCUUUCUUUGUAGCAGC